GCCCGAUCGAGAGCCACUACAGAAAACUUGAAUCGGAAAACGCAAGCAGGGUGAGGACAUGAGGAUGAAGAUGAAAGCAAUCAGAUUUGGCUUCUUCUUCUUUUCUUUUUUUUUAAUUGUGGGCCUUUUUGGGAAUUGGGCCUCUUGCUUUUUCUUUUUCUUUUUUUAAAAAUAAAAAGAUAGGCCCCAAUCUAAUAUGAGAUAACUUGGUUUGUGCUGUAUCAGAAAGAGGAAAAAUCGCACCCCAAUUGCAAAUGAAAUUGGUCUUGCAAUUGUGCAAAUCCUAUCUCUAUUCUCAAUCCCUCCCACCCUCGUACCAGCCCCUGCCCUAUGACAGUGUGAUUGUUGUCAGCCGGCGACGAGUCGUCGUCUCGACUCUAGCCUCGCUGAUCUCUGCCACCAGUCUACGUGAUUGCAUCGCUCUGGUGAGUCCGUGAUUUUGCUGCCCUCUUUUUUUUUUCUUUUUUUUUCUCGUUCUUUUAGAGUUUAGUUUAUUUUUUAAUUUAUCAUGUAUAUGUAUGAGUUAUAUUUUAUGUUUUAUGAGUUAUGAUUGUGUCUGUGAGCCUAUUGACUGUGGCAAUUUUGAUUUUUGUGAAUUUUAGACUCGUGGAAUUCGAGAAUUCGAGAAUGUUGGAGAUUUUACUGUUGAUUGGUAAAUUUUAUGAUUUCUGAUAUUUAAAAAUUUGUGAAUUUAAAUAAUAUUUGGUAUUUGCAGACCGUGAAUUUGAUUUGUGAUAAAUGAAAAUGAUAAAUUGGUGAAUUUGUAUGAUAAAUAAUUGUUGAUCUCGCGAAUUGACCUUUCACGUGGCCAAUCGAGGGCUACUCCACGUAUUCCUUCCUGCACACUAUAGCAAACAAUCAUACUUACACUGCGGAACCAAUGGGGGUGGUGGCGACCGCAUAUACUCCGACGAUCAAAUCAUUCGAUGGUGAUUAGAACAGAGUUGGAAUUGUGCAAAAGUGGGGAGGAGAAAAAUUAUACUUAUGUGGAGUGCCAAGUUAUUUUAUUAAGAUUUCAUUAUCUUUGUAUUUUGCCAAACCUUCGGUAUUUAUAGGCAAUAGGCAUCGUUGGAUGUGAGACAUGUGUAUGCAUCUAACGGUGCAAGGCGUCAAAUCAGCUGCAUCUAGAGGGGGCAGAUAAUUAAUUCAUCUAAAUUGUGAGUUGACAUAAAGUUGAGAUGUCACAUCAAUCAAUUCAUGAAGAUAAAAUGGGAUCUUGACACAAAGAUACAUCUCUGAAAUUGACGACGAAAAGGCCUCUACUGCAGUUCCUCGAAUCCCCUUACACUUUGGUGAAGGGGUGGAUGCCUCGGUGGUGAUGACUGUGCUUCGUAGCUUGUUAAUAUUGAGGUUCGACUGAGGCGUAGUAAACUUAUAUCACUCCGGAACCACUUCGGCUGGACAGGUAGCGUCUCGCUGAGGAGUAAAUAUGACGCGCCGAAGUGGGUUAUUGAGGGGCGUAAUAAUAAUAAACUGGUGUUGGAAAUUGGAAAUUGAAACUUGAUGAUAGUUUUUAAUUUGUGAUUUUUACGAUUUUGUACAUUUAUAUAUGGAUUGAAGAAUUAUUUUUAUAUUAUUUAAUUAAAUAUAUGGUCAACGAUCAACGAGAUCCCUAACUGACCUACAAUUCUCAA
rnacentral:lncRNA from 1 species